UUUCCCUCAAAACGCGGCUUCAAAUUCAGGGAUUUGUGCAGCGUCAAAGAGAAAGAAUGUCAAGGAAAGCGACAGGGUACCUGAGGUUUGUCACUGGACCAGUGGAUGAAUUGGAGUAGAGGAGUUCAACUAAGGAUUCUGGGCUUCAAUCAGGAAAUGAUAGUGAGUCUGGAGAAGAGCAAUCAUCCUUCUUUUGGGUAUACGCAUAGAGUCAAUUACCAGGAGAUUUGCUAGUCAAGACAUUUGGUGGGAGGAAAGUUCUUGAAAUUGGGAUGUUGACUCAGUCAUUGGCAACAGCUCUUCUUCCUUUGUGCCUGGACUUGUCUUGUCAAGGA
rnacentral:misc_RNA from 1 species